GACGAACGCUGGCGGCGUGCCUAAUACAUGCAAGUUGAGCGCUGAAGGUUGGUACUUGUACCAACUGGAUGAGCAGCGAACGGGUGAGUAACGCGUGGGGAAUCUGCCUUUGAGCGGGGGACAACAUUUGGAAACGAAUGCUAAUACCGCAUAAAAACUUUAAACACAAGUUUUAAGUUUGAAAGAUGCAAUUGCAUCACUCAAAGAUGAUCCCGCGUUGUAUUAGCUAGUUGGUGAGGUAAAGGCUCACCAAGGCGAUGAUACAUAGCCGACCUGAGAGGGUGAUCGGCCACAUUGGGACUGAGACACGGCCCAAACUCCUACGGGAGGCAGCAGUAGGGAAUCUUCGGCAAUGGACGAAAGUCUGACCGAGCAACGCCGCGUGAGUGAAGAAGGUUUUCGGAUCGUAAAACUCUGUUGGUAGAGAAGAACGUUGGUGAGAGGGGAAAGCUCAUCAAGUGACGGUAACUACCCAGAAAGGGACGGCUAACUACGUG
rnacentral:rRNA from 1 species